GCAUGGGUAGCUCAGCGGUAGAGCGGCUCGUUUACACCGAGUUGGUCGGGGGUUCGAUCCCCUCCCCGUGCACCA
rnacentral:tRNA from 1 species